rnacentral:rRNA from 1 species
GACGAACGCUGGCGGCGUGCUUAACACAUGCAAGUCGAACGGAAAGGCCCUGCUUUUGUGGGGUGCUCGAGUGGCGAACGGGUGAGUAACACGUGAGUAACCUUCCCUUGACUUUGGGAUAACUUCAGGAAACUGGGGCUAAUACCGGAUAGGAGCUCCUGCUGCAUGGUGGGGGUUGGAAAGUUUCGGCGGUUGGGGAUGGACUCGCGGCUUAUCAGCUUGUUGGUGGGGUAGUGGCUUACCAAGGCUUUGACGGGUAGCCGGCCUGAGAGGGUGACCGGCCACAUUGGGACUGAGAUACGGCCCAGACUCCUACGGGAGGCAGCAGUGGGGAAUACUGCACAAUGGGCGGAAGCCUGAUGCAGCAACGCCGCGUGCGGGAUGACGGCCUUCGGGUUGUAAACCGCUUUCGCCUGUGACGAAGCGUGAGUGACGGUAAUGGGUAAAGAAGCACCGGCUAACUACGUG